GCAGUGGUGGUUCAGUGGUAGGAUUCUUGCUUUCUGUGCAGGAGACCUGGGUUUGAGUCCCAGCCCGUGCA
rnacentral:tRNA from 1 species